rnacentral:rRNA from 1 species
GACAGAGGUGCAAACGUUGUUCGGAUUUACUGGGCGUAAAGCGUGUGUAGGCGGCUUUGUAUGUCGGAUGUGAAAGCCCACGGCUCAACCGUGGAAGUGCAUCCGAAACUGCAUAGCUUGAGUCCCGGAGAGGAAGGUGGAAUGCUUGGUGUAGAGGUGAAAUUCGUAGAUAUCAAGCAGAACACCUGCGGCGAAGGCGGCCUUCUGGACGGUGACUGACGCUGAGACGCGAAAGCGUGGGGAGCAAACAGG